rnacentral:rRNA from 1 species
AGAACGAACGCUGGCGGCAUGCCUAAUACAUGCAAGUCGAACGAACUCUUCGGAGUUAGUGGCGCACGGGUGCGUAACGCGUGGGAAUCUGCCCUUGGGUUCGGAAUAACAGUUGGAAACGACUUCUAAUACCGGAUGAUGACGAAAGUCCAAAGAUUUAUCGCCCAGGGAUGAGCCCGCGUAGGAUUAGCUAGUUGGUGAGGUAAAGGCUCACCAAGGCGACGACCCUUAGCUGGUCUGAGAGGAUGAUCAGCCACACUGGGACUGAGACACGGCCCAGACUCCUACGGGAGGCAGCAGUAGGGAAUAUUGGACAAUGGGCGAAAGCCUGAUCCAGCAAUGCCGCGUGAGUGAUGAAGGCCUUAGGUUGUAAAGCUCCUUUACCCGAGAUGAUAAUGACAGUAUCGGGAGAAUAAGCCCCGGCUAACUCCGUGCUAGCAGCCGC